AAAUUUUUAGUUUUAUUAAAAUAUUAAAUUGCAAAUUUAAAGAAAUAUUAAAUUAAUAUAAAAUUUU
rnacentral:tRNA from 1 species